GAUGAAAUACGCGGACGAUGUUCUGCAAACCCAUAAGUGCUGCAAAUGCAGAAAAUACAAGGCUGCCGAGUGGACCAAUCACAGGGCUUGUGGUCCAUGUCGAUUCGACGCAUAGUUACAUUUUGGAGGAGUCCAUCAAGUCUGUUCCCCGAAGCCAUCACAGAAACAGAAGAGACAAGCAGAGCCCUUUAGCUAUAAGGACUUUGCCUCAUUCUCAACCUUCUGUCUUGGACGUCUCCUGUUUAUAAAGCUGCUUUUCCCCCAAUAAAGCAU